AGCACAAAAGGGGUAGGUGGAAUAUUUAGGGAAAACCAAGCACAAAAGGGGUAGGUGGAAUAUUUAGAGAAAAUUAAUAAUAGUACAAGUAUAAACAAAGGGUAAGUUAGAAUAAGAACAUAAGAGCGAAAUAAAGGGAAUUAUACUAGGGGUAAAGGACUAGGGAAAUAAGGAAGGGGAUUAGUGAUAAGAGAUAAGAGAUUAAAUGUUAUAGAAAAUAGGCUAUAGAAUUGGUAAGGGUGGAGAGAAGGUAUAGAUGAUAAGGGGGAUAGGGUAUAUUUUAAGAGGGGGUAAUUUUGAAUGUCCACGGUGAUUCAUUGUCGAAUUAAAAUAAAUGUUUGACGGAGG